UGAGGAAUAUUGGACAAUGGGCGCAAGCCUGAUCUAGCCAUGCCGCGUGCAGGAAGAAGCAUCUAUGGUGUGUAAACUGCUUUUGUACGGGAAGAAACACUCCUUCGUGAAGGAGCUUGACGGUACCGUAAGAAUUAGGAUCGGCUAACUCCGUGCCAGCAGCCGCGGUAAUACGGAGGAUCCAAGCGUUAUCCGGAAUCAUUGGGUUUAAAGGGUCCGUAGGCGGUUUAGUAAGUCAGUGGUGAAAGCCCAUCGCUCAACGAUGGAACGGCCAUUGAUACUGCUAGACUUGAAUUAUUAGGAAGUCACUAGAAUAUGUAGUGUAGCGGUGAAAUGCUUAGAUAUUACAUGGAAUACCAAUUGCGAAGGCAGGUUACUACUAAUGGACUGACGCUGAGGCUCGAAAGCGUGGGGAGCGAGCA
rnacentral:rRNA from 1 species